rnacentral:rRNA from 1 species
CGGACGGGUGAGUAAUGUCUGGGGAAACUGCCUGAUGAGGGGGAUAACCACUGGAAACGGUAGCUAAUACCGCAUAACGUCGCAAGACCAAAGAGGGGACCUUCGGGCCUCUUGCCAUCGGAUGUGCCCAGAUGGGAUUAGCUAGUAGGUGGGGUAACGGCUCACCUAGGCGACGAUCCCUAGCUGGUCUGAGAGGAUGACCAGCCACACUGGAACUGAGCACGGUCCAG